rnacentral:rRNA from 1 species
GAUGAACGCUGGCGGCGUGCCUAAUACAUGCAAGUAGAACGCUGAGGGAGGAGCUUGCUCUUCUGGAUGAGUUGCGAACGGGUGAGUAACGCGUAGGUAACCUGCCUGGUAGCGGGGGAUAACUAUUGGAAACGAUAGCUAAUACCGCAUGACAACAGUUAUUGCAUGAUAACUGUUUAAAAGGGGCAACUGCUCCACUACCAGAUGGACCUGCGUUGUAUUAGCUAGUUGGUGAGGUAACGGCUCACCAAGGCGACGAUACAUAGCCGACCUGAGAGGGUGAUCGGCCACACUGGGACUGAGACACGGCCCAGACUCCUACGGGAGGCAGCAGUAGGGAAUCUUCGGCAAUGGACGGAAGUCUGACCGAGCAACGCCGCGUGAGUGAAGAAGGUUUUCGGAUCGUAAAGCUCUGUUGUAAGAGAAGAACGAGUGUGAGAGUGGAAAGUUCACACUGUGACGGUAUCUUACCAGAAAGGGACGGCUAACUACGUG